rnacentral:lncRNA from 1 species
CUCACUCUCACGGCUCGCUUCGUGUGUACCACACGAUACUCUCGUACACCAAAGUCAAACUAUAAUAGCCCGGCAUCUUAACUGCCGAACAAUCCUUUCGGGAAUUUAUCCUCGGAAGGGUUACAAGUAUAUUGUGUUGGUCGAUAAGAUUGUAUAAUCAAAGGCUUUUAACGAGCGUCGUCUCUGCGCUCGGGCACGAAAUUUUAUUGGCUUCUUGAGGCAUUAUCGUCACGCUUCGGAAACUGAACUUUGGGAGGUUAUUUUUGUUACUUCGUUCCGUGUUUUCGUGUAGAUCAGAGGGCAUCGCAAUUUCGUCAUCUCUCGUACCGUGUGUUGUUUGUGUUUUGAAGCGUGCUCCCCAGAACUUGAGAUCGCGCGGUGCGCGAUUGUCGGACAACGAAGAAUCCUUCGCUCGUUUCGAAAAUAACGAUUUUUCACGAGUUGCCAAUCGGAAAGUAUUUCUUUCAACGCCGCGAAAAAUCCUCGGUGCACUUUUAUUUCUCACAAUAGUGUUUGGCAGUCGUUGGGACUUUGAUUUUACGAACAUUUUAGAGCAUUUUCACGUAGAAUCUGUCACGAAAUUCCGUUUCGAACUUUUAGUGCACUCACAAUUUUAUCCACGAGAUAAUUCAGACCCAAAGAUCAUGUGACAGAAAUAAUCCAACAUCGAUAAAGCACGAUCGAUUCCCAAUAAAAUCAACGAAAUUUUUCAGAAACUCAAUCCCCGCCGUUUACGAAUUCCUCCAAAAGUCGAAAUCCCUCGCGCGAUAAUAAAAACGUCCACUCGAGCAACGAACGCUCGUAUAAAAUCGGGUAGCGAAGUACGAAAAUCAGUAAACAAACGAGAAGUUAUUGGACAAGCCGGAAGCGAGUGAGGGCUACUUACGUCUAAGAAACGGGCCCUCCGCAUCCUCGUAAUUGGAAAAUGCUUGUCCUCGAAUGUCCUCGAGUAAGAAACCAACGAAGAGCAGCGUGCGGAGGAACGAAGCUGCGAAAUGUUUCGGUGAGCAGCGAGCCGCGUCUUCGUGCAGCGGAGUUUGCCCGAGAGAAUCACGACACCGCGCCGCCGGAUUCGAUGACGAUCUUCUUUGCUAAUUGGUCUCUUGAAAACAGCUGAAAAAUUACGAAAUUCGGACUUUUUCACGGGGACUCGCCGACCCUCUCAGGCUUGAGGAAAAAAGGAUUUCAACAUUCUUUCAUUUCGUCACCAAGGAAAAAUCGUUUUCCGAUGAUUUUCUAACGAUUUUCAAAUAGACGAGUUCAAAGUCUUACGAAACUGGACUUUGGGAAGUUUUUAUAACAAAAAGGACUAUAUUUUCGUUCCUCGGGGAGACACGAAUCGAAAGUCUGCCACGUGAAUCAGGGAACGAGCAAAAGUUACGAGUUCCAAAAUCAAAGAGAAGUUAAAUCGAGAACAAUUUUCUUUACACAGAAAAAAUGGUAGGAAAAAACUAGAAAGGGAUCCCCCAAAAUAAUAAAAGUGAGUGUGAGUCACUCAGAGCAGGUUUCGAUCCAAAAAAUGGAGCUAAUCGUUCAAUUCACAAAAGCAAAGAAUUAGCUUCGAUUCAUCACGCGCGUCGAGCAAUAAAGUCGACUCGAAAGUGGACCGAGGAUUCGACGAUUUCUACAAACGUGAAAGAAACUUGUAAAAAGAUGAUUUUCUACAAAUUUUUCUCUUAAAUUUUCCAAGCUUUUUCUUACCUGACGAAAUCAGCAUGAAUUUGAAUGAUUCCCACAGUCCAAUUGUCCUCAAUUUCCCUGAAUUGGCAGUAAAAAAAGUUGCCAAGAUCAGUCGACUCACUGCACUUUCUCCCAUAAAUCUUAAUCUCAAUUGUUCUCAACGGUUCACUAAAUUACAUCAUUUUUUCUAGAGACUCGAGCUCAUAAACGGUUCGGAGUGCGAGGUAGACCGGAGGAGGCGCGUACGACGAGCGUUUUCCUUGGAGUAGGAAAUCGGAGCGUCGCGCAACCUGUCGUCGAAAGGGGGAAGAGGCGCGAGGCGAAGGCAACUUUCAUUCUUUUUAUCAUAAAAGCGACGCACUUUAUCUAAUCUCAGUAAGCCCGUAGAAUUUGUGGAGCACCGGGGUACCAGUUUCGAUGAACUCAUCGGGGGCCCGAAACUCGCGCACGUAAGGAUAAGACGCGCGUUCGCAGAGCCGGAAGCAAAAACUGUAAAAAACGAGCGAUCUCGAAGAGACGGUGAAAAAAGUUGCGCAACCGUUUCGUAUUUCAUCGCUUUAAUGGGUUCUCGAUAAAUUUUACACGAGAUUGAACUUGGUUCAACGAACAAUUCCUGAAUUCAUAAUAUUCUUAGUGGAGAAAUAGAGUCUUAUUGCUCUGAUACAUGCGAACGUAGACUAACAUAAUUAUCAUAACACGUACGUAUACUUUCAAACAUAGUAAAAAAUAACAACAGAACUUGUAAUAAUCGUUACGACGAAAUAUAAAAACGCAUGAUUCGUUUUGCA